GAAACCGUGUACGUACAAGCAGUGGGAGCACAGGUUUACCUGUGUGACUGCGUACCUUUUGUAUAAUGGGUCAGCGACUUAUAUUCUGUAGCAAGGUUAACCGAAUAGGGGAGCCGGAGGGAAACCGAGUCUUAAUUGGGCGUUAAGUUGCAGGGUAUAGACCCGAAACCCGGUGAUCUAGCCAUGGGCAGGUUGAAGGUUGGGUAACACUAACUGGAGGACCGAACCGACUAAUGUUGAAAAAUUAGCGGAUGACCUGUGGCUGGGGGUGAAAGGCCAAUCAAACCGGGAGAUAGCUGGUUCUCCCCGAAAGCUAUUUAGGUAGCGCCUCGUGAAUUCAUCUCCGGGGGUAGAGCACUGUUUCGGCUAGGGGGCCAUCCCGGCUUACCAACCCGAUGCAAACUGCGAAUACCGGAGAAUGUUAUCACGGGAGACACACGGCGGGUGCUAACGUCCGUCGUGAAGAGGGAAACAACCCAGACCGCCAGCUAAGGUCCCAAAGUCAUGGUUAAGUGGGAAACGAUGUGGGAAGGCCCAGACAGCCAGGAUGUUGGCUUAGAAGCAGCCAUCAUUUAAAGAAAGCGUAAUAGCUCACUGGUCGAGUCGGCCUGCGCGGAAGAUGUAACGGGGCUAAACCAUGCACCGAAGCUGCGGCAGCGAACGUAUCACUUAAAGCGAUUCAGCGGGUUACGAUUGACGGAGCGAAGCGACGUCAAAGCGUAUACAAAGUCGAGUCGGUUUAAGGAUACGUUCGUUGGGUAGGGGAGCGUUCUGUAAGCCUGUGAAGGUGUGUCGUGAGGCAUGCUGGAGGUAUCAGAAGUGCGAAUGCUGACAUAAGUAACGAUAAAGCGGGUGAAAAGCCCGCUCGCCGGAAGACCAAGGGUUCCUGUCCAACGUUAAUCGGGGCAGGGUGAGUCGACCCCUAAGGCGAGGCCGAAAGGCGUAGUCGAUGGGAAACGGGUUAAUAUUCCCGUACUUGGUGUUACUGCGAAGGGGGGACGGAGAAGGCUAUGUUGGCCGGGCGACGGUUGUCCCGGUUUAAGCGUGUAGGUGUGUGUUCCAGGUAAAUCCGGUUCACUUUAACACUGAGGCGUGAUGACGAGGCACUACGGUGCUGAAGCAACAAAUGCCCUGCUUCCAGGAAAAGCCUCUAAGCAUCAGGUAACAUCAAAUCGUACCCCAAACCGACACAGGUGGUCAGGUAGAGAAUACCAAGGCGCUUGAGAGAACUCGGGUGAAGGAACUAGGCAAAAUGGUGCCGUAACUUCGGGAGAAGGCACGCUGACAUGUAGGUGAAGUGAUUUACUCAUGGAGCUGAAGUCAGUCGAAGAUACCAGCUGGCUGCAACUGUUUAUUAAAAACACAGCACUGUGCAAACACGAAAGUGGACGUAUACGGUGUGACGCCUGCCCGGUGCCGGAAGGUUAAUUGAUGGGGUCAGCGCAAGCGAAGCUCCUGAUCGAAGCCCCGGUAAACGGCGGCCGUAACUAUAACGGUCCUAAGGUAGCGAAAUUCCUUGUCGGGUAAGUUCCGACCUGCACGAAUGGCGUAAUGAUGGCCAGGCUGUCUCCACCCGAGACUCAGUGAAAUUGAACUCGCUGUGAAGAUGCAGUGUACCCGCGGCAAGACGGAAAGACCCCGUGAACCUUUACUAUAGCUUGACACUGAACAUUGAGCCUUGAUGUGUAG
rnacentral:rRNA from 1 species